ensembl:snRNA U6 U6 spliceosomal RNA
GUGCUCAUUUCGACAGCACAUAGACUAACAUUGGAACGAUGCAGAGAAGAUUAGCACGGGCCCUGUGCAAGGAUGACUCGCAAAUUCAUGAAGUGCUCCGUAUUUUU